UGGUGCAGUGGUUAAAGCACUCGGCUGGUAACCGAAAGGUUGGUGGUUCGAACCCACC
rfam:Loxodonta africana unplaced genomic scaffold scaffold_9, whole genome shotgun sequence.